rnacentral:rRNA from 1 species
CCUACGGGCGACAGCAGUGAGGAAUAUUGGUCAAUGGACGCAAGUCUGAACCAGCCAUGCCGCGUGCAGGAUGACGGCCCUAUGAGUUGUAAACUGCUUUUGUAAAAGGAUAAACUGAGACACGUGUAUCUGUCUGUAUGUAUUUUACGAAUAAGGCUCGGCUAACUCCGUGCCAGCAGCCGCGGUAAUACGGAGGAUCCAAGCGUUAUCCGGAUUUAUUGGGUUUAAAGGGAGCGUAGAUGGGUUGUUAAGUCAGAUGUGAAAGUUUGGGGCUCAACUGUGGAAUUGCAUCUGAUACUGGCAGCCUAGAGAGUAGUUGCGGUAGGCGGAA